rnacentral:rRNA from 1 species
AAACUUACCUGGCCUUGACAUGUCAGAGAACUUUCAGAGAUGGAUGGGUGCCUUCGGGAACUCGAACACAGGUGCUGCAUGGCUGUCGUCAGCUCGUGUCGUUAGAUGUUGGGUUAAGUACCGCAACGAGCGCAACCCUUGUCCUUAGUUGCCAGCACGUAAUGGUGGGAACUUUAAGGAGACCGCCGGUGACAAACCGGAGGAAGGUUGGGAUGACGUCAAGUCAUCAUGGCCCUUACGGCCAGGGCUACACACGUACUACAAUGGUAGGGACAGAGGGGUGCAAGCCGGCGACGGUAAGCCAAUUCCAGAAACCCUAUCUCAGUCCGGAUUGGAGUUUGCAACUUGACUCCAUGAAGUCGGAAUCGGUAG